AGUGAACGCUGGCGGUAGGCCUAACACAUGCAAGUCGAACGGCAGCACAGUAAGAGCUUGCUCCUACGGGUGGCGAGUGGCGGACGGGUGAGGAAUACAUCGGAAUCUACUUUUUCGUGGGGGAUAACGUAGGGAAACUUACGCUAAUACCGCAUACGACCUACGGGUGAAAGCAGGGGAUCUUCGGACCUUGCGCGAUUGAAUGAGCCGAUGUCGGAUUAGCUAGUUGGCGGGGUAAAGGCCCACCAAGGCGACGAUCCGUAGCUGGUCUGAGAGGAUGAUCAGCCACACUGGAACUGAGACACGGUCCAGACGCCUACGGGAGGCAGCAGUGGGGAAUAUUGGACAAUGGGCGCAAGCCUGAUCCAGCCAUACCGCGUGGGUGAAGAAGGCCUUCGGGUUGUAAAGCCCUUUUGUUGGGAAAGAAAAGCAGCAGGUUAAUACCCCGCUGUUCUGACGGUACCCAAAGAAUAAGCACCGGCUAACUUCGUG
rnacentral:rRNA from 1 species